rnacentral:rRNA from 1 species
GAUGAACGCUGGCGGUAUGCUUAACACAUGCAAGUCGUACGGAAGUUUUUUAACUUUAGUGGCGGACGGGUGAGUAACACGUGAGAAUUUGCCUUUAGGAGGGGGAUAACAAUUGGAAACAAAUGCUAAUACCCCCAUAUGCUUUUGAGUGAAAUGGAUUUAUCCGCCUAGAGAGAAGCUCGCGGCUGAUUAGCUUGUUGGUAAGGUAAGAGCUUACCCAAGGCGACGAUCAGUAUCUGGUUUGAGAGGACGAUCAGACACACUGGAACUGAGACACGGUCCAGACUCCUACGGGAGGCAGCAGUGGGGAAUUUUCCGCAAUGGGCGAAAGCCUGACGGAGCAAUACCGCGUGAGGGAAGACUGCCUAUGGGUUGUAAACC